GCAUCACCUCGGUGACUGGUACCCAGAGACUUCUUCUGGCUCAAGAACUGACCUCAAUCAGAGUGUGGGGCGAAAGCAGAAAAGCAAAUUACCUCCCUGCUUCCACAGUUUGCUCCCGAAGGACUCCAGAACCUCACAUAAACAAAAACUAAUUAUAAUACGCACACAAAAAUUUAGUAAAAACUCUCAAAGCUCUGCUCGUAGGCUGAACAAAAAGGAAGCUGGAAGAGUGAAUGUCACAGUGCCAUCUACUGACGCCAGCCCCGACCGCGGAGGGAGAACACCCAACUGCAGGGGCAAAAAUAAAUAAAUAAGGCUGGGAGUCUUGGAAGGAUUAUGUUUAAAGGAAGGAGAUGACUGCUAAUUAAUGUGACAAGAGAGAAAGCCUCACCUACUGACAGGUUAUUCAUCCCACAAGUGUUAGAAUCUUCUUCAGCGAUGUCUGUUCCUAUAAUUCCUGGAAAAAGGCUCGUGCUGGAGGAGCAGCUGACCAGAACCCUCAGUGCCAGCUCCCAUACUUCUAUUUUGUCUUGAUGAGCUUUACAGCAGAGGAGAGUUACAGCCUGCUCUGUGGCAAGCAAUUUGAAGGCAUAAAGGAAUGCGAUUGUGGAAUAAAACCCGCUCUGUGUGCUGUGAGAUAACUUCACCUGACACAGAAAAUGAGCGGUAACUCGGAGGCAGGUGCUUCAGAGAAAAUGUGACCUGGAUCCAAAUGGCCACUGUGUUCGCCGUGCAGAGCCCCAAACCUUCUCAGACAGCCAAAGAUGGAGAAGAAAAGUCAAAUUAAACCUCUCACAGAUUCUGCCUCAGUUGUCCUGAUGCAGGAAACAUCUCUGGGUUUAUCCUGCAACCAAAGCAUUUCUGAUGUUUAAAGGAUUUUAUUUCUUACUGCACUUUUUGGAAGGCUGGGUCCUCACUCCAACAAGGGAUUCCCGUCCUGCGCUCUGCAAAGCCCCCUGGAAGCACCACUGGUUGCCAAGCCCCAUCCGUGCUGAAUCUCUGGAGCCCCCUGAGGCUGGGAGUGCACCCCACUGCUCUGCCAAGCACCAAGAACUUGCUUCUCAUGCCCUUCUUCAUUGCCCCCCCAGCCUGGGGACACCACGGCACAUCUGGUCCGUGGAUCAAGGACUCUUUGCAAGCCCUGCCUGUGCCCUGGGCUUCCUCAGCCUGCAAGAAUUGGAUGCUCCAGGCCAUGCCAGUGCACCCCACGCCAUGGGAAGAGGCUCUGUAUCACUAAGCAACCGUGCCUCCCACGGAAAGGAGCAGAAGUCAGAGCCCUGGGUGCCGCUGCCACGCAGCCUGUCCUUUCCCCAGCACCGCCCCUGCUGCGGCCAGGCUUGGAGGCAAGUGCCUCAUUCCAGACCUGAGGAUGUGAUUCCCAAAUGAGGGGUUUGCAGCCAGCCUCCCUCAGUCUCAGUAUUUCCCAGCAGCGUUUGCCAUGGUGUGGAAUGUGGGUGAUUUUAUUGAUGUUUAGCCAUUACAGCUGCAGGAGGAAGCAAGGCGUGCUGCCCGCUGGCCCCUGAGUGCUCCAGAAGCAGAAAAAUCUCCAAAGCACCCCCAAAUGGAGCUCAAACCCUCUUGGUGCUUUCAGGAUGCUGUCCCUGAGCUGAGCAGCUUCUCUGCAGAGACACAAACCACCCCCAGUGUUUCACCCAACACCAGCAGCGAGCCCUCGAUAAAAUCUCCUGCAAACCACAGAGCAGGCACAGCGCCAAGGGGCCGGGCCCUGGGAGUUACAGACUGUACUACCUGCAAGAGAGGCUUCUGAGAAACUGAAAUUGCUCUGCAAGUGCUUCUGUCAGACACCGCUGUGCCUGCUCAGGGGGCCAGAGGUGACACACCCAUCACUUUCUGCCUAGGAAACCCUCCCGAGUUCUGCCAGCAGUCGCCCCUAAAUAAAGGUUCCUUCUUAAAACAGUCGAUGGCAGCUGCAGGGGAGAAAAGCAUCUUCUGAAAAGAAAGCUGCUCCUUCAAUUCUAGAAGGAUCAGGACUUUGUGCCUCUGGUGCUGUUUCUGAUCCUCUAGAAAGGCCUUGCCCUCAGAGGAAGCACCGACACUUCCUCGCUUCCUUUCAGGUUUGUCCAAAUUUGGCCCACAACUGUAAAAAGCACAGGGAGGCUCUGGCUGCAGAGGGACCAAAAGACCCCUUUUGCUCACCCACAUCCUCUUUUCUUAGGAAAACAGACUGAAAAUCCAGCUUUCCUUCCAGGCUGGAGCACAUUAGGCUGCUUGGACCUCGUCCACGUUUGAUGGUAAUCUCCUCUGACAAGCAGCCUCCUAUAACCACCGAGCUGCCAAGCCACAUCCCCCUUCCCCUGCCACCCCCACCCCGAUGUCCUUCCCAGCCAUCCUGUGGUUUUUCCCGGGUCCCAGCCCUCUGCAGGCUGACCUACUUCUGCCCAGCCUGCCGGAGGCCGGGGUAUGGAAACACCACGGGGAGAGCGGCACGGGCAGCCACUGCUGUGUCCAUGGCAGCGUGAGCCCACGGGGGUGGCAGCUGCCAGGCAGGCUGGGUGACACCUCUGUGACAAGCUAAAUGUGAGCUCUGAAGGCUGUGAGGUGCAGCAAGCAGUGGCGUCACCCCUGGCAGAUGCUCUUGCCCGCCGUGGUUCUGCACCACAUCCUCGACCCUCGGCGGCGAAUUCCUCACGUGUCACUCACCACAGACUUGGUUGCAAACAUGUAUUUGUCCCUGAGCUGGAAGUCUUCAACGUCUUCCAGGAUUAUCUCCUUGUUUUCCCGGCUCUGGAAGAAGUCUGUGCUGCGGAUGACCGUGGAGGCCCCGGAGGGCUCGUGCCGCUCGAUGUACACCGUGCUGGGCUUGUCGUAGGGCUCAACCCCCCUGGGGAGGACAGGGGACAUGGUGGGAUUGGAGAAGAAGGCAGCAGGAGCAAGGAGAUGGGGGCAGCAAACAACGCAAGAAGUGAGGAAUGAGAGAAGACAGGAGCUGGGUGCACGCAAUACGUACCAAGAAAAGGACUUCACGUGUUCCUGAAUCAUUAUCCAGGUCUGGCCAAAAUCGUCUGAUUUCCAGAGCUGCAACGACAAAGUGAACGACCAUCUGAUUGUGGGAAUCGUUGAGGCUGACCUGCAACACCAAGGGAAAGGACACCCUGAGUCACAGCCUCAGCCACAGCAAGCUCCCGCUCGUGCCACCCCUCCUUGGAAAUACCAGACUUUGGGAAAACUCAUUCAAAGUGGCAUCUCUCCUGAACGUGUAGGCAGAAUGUGCCUGAAAGGCAUCUUCCAACAAAUGAAUGCCCUACAGGAAUGGGACGGGAAGAAGACAGCCCCUGGAGCUGCCCUCCGAGAGCAGG